rnacentral:rRNA from 1 species
UAAUACGGGGGGAGCAAGCGUUGUUCGGAUUUACUGGGCGUAAAGGGCGCGUAGGCGGCCAGCACAAGUCAGUUGUGAAAUCUCCGAGCUUAACUCGGAAAGGUCAACUGAUACUGUGCGGCUAGAGUGCAGAAGGGGCAACUGGAAUUCUUGGUGUAGCGGUGAAAUGCGUAGAUAUCAAGAGGAACACCUGCGGCGAAGGCGGGUUGCUGGGCUGACACUGACGCUGAGGCGCGAAAGCUAGGGGAGCGAACGGGAUUAGAUACCCCGGUAGUCCUAGCCUUAAACGAUGAAUGCUUGGUGUCUGGGGUUAUAAAGUCCCCGGGUGCCGUCGCUAACGCUUUAAGCAUUCCGCCUGGGGAGUACGGUCGCAAGACUG